AUUGAACGCUGGCGGCAUGCCUUACACAUGCAAGUCGAACGGUAACAGGUCUUCGGAUGCUGACGAGUGGCGAACGGGUGAGUAAUACAUCGGAACGUGCCCGAUCGUGGGGGAUAACGAAGCGAAAGCUUUGCUAAUACCGCAUAAGAUCUACGGAUGAAAGCAGGGGACCGCAAGGCCUUGCGCGAACGGAGCGGACGAUGGCAGAGUAGGUAGUUGGUGGGAUAAAAGCUUACCAAGCCGACGAUCUGUAGCUGGUCUGAGAGGACGACCAGCCACACUGGGACUGAGACACGGCCCAGACUCCUACGGGAGGCAGCAGUGGGGAAUUUUGGACAAUGGGCGAAAGCCUGAUCCAGCCAUGCCGCGUGCAGGAUGAAGGCCUUCGGGUUGUAAACUGCUUUUGUACGGAACGAAAAGACUCUUUCUAAUAAAGAGGGUCCAUGACGGUACCGUAAGAAUAAGCACCGGCUAACUACGUGCCAGCCGCCGCCGUAAAAC
rnacentral:rRNA from 1 species